rnacentral:rRNA from 1 species
AUGCACGAGCAAGAGCUAGUGAAGGAGCUGGAUUGGCCCAAGAGAGUUUCUGUUGUGGUGGAUGUAGCUCAAGCUCUCUCCUACUUGCACCAUGGUUGCGGCGAUCCAAUCGUGCAUCAUGACAUAAAAAGCAGCAACAUUCUUCUGGACCUCGAUUAUAAGGCUUAUGUUUCAGACUUUGGCAUGGCGAGGAAACUGAAGCAUGGUUACUCAAGCUGGAGCACUAUUUUUGCAGGCACGUGUGGCUACAUAGUCCCUGAGCUGUCAUCUACCAUGGUGUUGACUCAGAAGUGCGACGUGUACAGCUUCGGCGUGGUUGCGCUGGAAGUUUUGAUGGGAAAGCACCCAGGUGAUCUGCUCCUUCCAUUCUUUUGCCGAACAGAGCAGCUGAGGAAGUUCAAUGAUAUUCUGGAUCGACGCAUCGCAGCACCGUCAACUAUUGACGAGGAGAAGGAUGUCAUUUUGGUUACCUUGGUGGCCUUUGCUUGCCUGCAAGUCAAUCCCAAAGCCCUGCCAACAAUGCAGUAG